GACGAACGCUGGCGGCGUGCUUAACACAUGCAAGUCGAACGAUGAAGCUAGAGCUUGCUCUGGUGAAUUAGUGGCGAACGGGUGAGUAACACGUGAGUAACCUGCCCCGAACUCUGGGAUAACUGCUGGAAACGGUAGCUAAUACUGGAUACGACCUACGAAGGCAUCUUCUGUAGGUGGAAAGACUGUCGGUUCGGGAUGGACUCGCGGCCUAUCAGCUUGUGGGUGGGGUAAUGGCUCACCAAGGCGACGACGGGUAGCCGGCCUGAGAGGGUGACCGGCCACACGGGGACUGAGACACGGCCCAGACUCCUACGGGAGGCAGCAGUGGGGAAUAUUGCACAAUGGGCGCAAGCCUGAUGCAGCAACGCCGCGUGAGGGAUGACGGCCUUCGGGUUGUAAACCUCUUUUAGUAGGGAAGAAGCGAAAGUGACGGUACCUGCAGAAAAAGCACCGGCUAACUACGUGCCAGCCGCCGCCGUAA
rnacentral:rRNA from 1 species